rnacentral:rRNA from 1 species
CUUCCUACGGGGCGCAGCAGUGGGGGAUAUUGCACAAUGGGGGAAACCCUGAUGCAGCGAUGCCGCGUGAAUGAAGACGGCCUUCGGGUUGUAAAGUUCUGUCGCAGGGGACGAAAAUGACGGUACCCUGCAAGAAAGCUCCGGCUAACUACGUGCCAGCAGCCGCGGUAAUACGUAGGUGGCAAGCGUUGUCCGGAUUUACUGGGUGUAAAGGGCGUGUAGCCGGGCUGACAAGUCAGAUGUGAAAUCCGGGGGCUCAACCCCCGAACUGCAUUUGAAACUGUUGGUCUUGAGUAUCGGAGAGG